GAAUAAGAAGCAAUUAUGCAUUUAGUUUCGACCUAAAUAUAUUGAUAAUAAUAUAUCCUUAUUUA
rnacentral:tRNA from 1 species